rnacentral:rRNA from 1 species
AUUGAACGCUGGCGGCAUGCCUUACACAUGCAAGUCGAACGGCAGCGGACCUUCGGGUGCCGGCGAGUGGCGAACGGGUGAGUAAUGCAUCGGAACGUACCUUUCAGUGGGGGAUAACGUAGCGAAAGUUACGCUAAUACCGCAUAUUCUGUGAGCAGGAAAGCAGGGGGUCGCAAGACCUUGCGCUGAUUGAGCGGCCGAUGUCAGAUUAGCUUGUUGGUGAGGUAAAGGCUCACCAAGGCGACGAUCUGUAGCGGGUCUGAGAGGAUGAUCCGCCACACUGGAACUGAGACACGGUCCAGACUCCUACGGGAGGCAGCAGUGGGGAAUUUUGGACAAUGGGGGCAACCCUGAUCCAGCCAUGCCGCGUGAGUGAAGAAGGCCUUCGGGUUGUAAAGCUCUUUCGGCCGGGAAGAAAUCGCACGGGCUAAUACCCUGCGUGGAUGACGGUACCGGAAUAAGAAGCACCGGCUAACUACGUGCCAGCCGCCGCAGUAAAAC